rnacentral:lncRNA from 1 species
GCGGAAUUACCUGCACACACUUAAGUACACAAAUGGUUGUAUAAUAAUAAUAGUAUAAUAUUGUUAGCAAUAUAAUACUAUUAUAUAAUUUUAAAGAAUAUAAUAUUAUAUAUUGGACUUGCCUUUUGCUCUUUAAGUUUACUACAGUAUAUGAAUACGUAAUCAACUUUUCAGAUGGUGUUUUAUAAACAACUAUAGUAUAUGAAUACUAAGUUAUAUUAUAAACACAAGUUAUAUUAUAGAGUAAAUGACCAGAUAACUGGAUAUAUGAUAAGCAAGUAAAUGACCAGAUAACUGGAUAUAUUGAUAAACAAGUAGAUGACCAGAUAACUGGAUAUAUAUAUGAUAAGUAAAUGCUUGAACAAAUAUGAAUAAAGCAAUGAAUAUAACCUCAGAUGGUUGACCAGAUAACUGGAUGAGGGAUCUGCGUAAAGUAGUCAACCUCUGUAUUUGACCAGAUAACUGGAAGAGGGAUCUUUUUAAUUAAGUGUUGUUUUUAGAUAAAAGAUAAAACUAUAAUUAACAUAGAACAACACAAGAGAUUUAUACUGGUUCACCCAAACAAGGGCUAGUCCAGUCCCGACCAACUGCCGGAAUUCACUCGCCUAAAGGUAAUGGCAAAACCUUUCUAAGCUUUAAGGCUACUUCGCUUAGGAACCAGUCUUUUACGGGUAGACUCACACCUUAGAGUAUCAAGGGCACUCUUAAGAACCUCUAACUUUUACGGGUAAGUUAGUACCUUAGAGUAUCAAGGAACUCUUAAAAACCUCUUAAAUCUUUAAAGGUAGACUCGACCUAAGAGUUUUCCCGGAAACUCUAUAAAACCAAACUAGAGCCUUAUGGUUGAGCUCACAAACCUUCUCUCACACUUUGGUACUAUUGAGACAACCCUCUCAACCAAAGUGGACAUACACAAGAGGUGAUUAGAGGAGUGGAAUAUUAAAGCAAAUAACAUUUCUUACUUGUAAAGAUGAACAAGAAGAUUAGAAGUAGAAGUUGGAGAGCUUUUGAAGCUUUGGAAAGCUAGGACACUUCAGCACUUGAAAGCUUGGAAGCUUGNNNNNNNNNNNNNNNNNNNNNNNNNNNNNNNNNNNNNNNNNNNNNNNNNNNNNNNNNNNNNNNNNNNNNNNNNNNNNNNNNNNNNNNNNNNNNNNNNNNNNNNNNNNNNNNNNNNNNNNNNNNUCUUCAAUGGAUGGCUCCUUGAUUUUUCACAAAAAUCCAAGCUUUGUCUUUGAUCUUAUCUUGAAUUCUUGGAUAGUGUGUUGGUCUUAUCUCUUUGGAUAGUGUGUUGUCCUUGAAGAAUCUUAUCUUUGAAUAAUUCAACCAUGAAUAGUAUUUUGUCCCCUUGGAAUAUUAUACCUUGAAUAAAGUGUCAAAAGAUAAUAAUAAUAAUAUUCAUGGUAAACAUGUAAUUAUUCCAAAUAAUAAUAUUCAAGGUGAAAAUGCAAUUCUCCCGAUUUGACUUUUUAACUUUGACUUAAACCCUUAACUCAAAUGAUUAAUUAAUUAACUGGAGUUAGGUUUAACAUCGAUUGACUUAUUUAACCCCUUUUGAUUAAUAGUGUAAUUAGGGUUUAAAUUGACAUGAUUAAAAUAUAAUCCUAUAUCGACAAUUUUGAUUCUACAUUCUCCCCCUUUGUCGAUGGCAUAUAUGUUUUAACUCAUGUCUAGUCAAUAUUCUAUUUUAUCCUUAUGAGCAUGCUCCCCCUGAAUUAUUGACCCAUAAUAUUCAAUUUAAAAGCAGUGGAUCAUGCAUGAUUUCUCCCCCUUAAAACAAUAAGGUAUCGACAAAGUUAACAAUAGAUACCUAUGAAGUAUCUCCCCCUUAAUGAUAGGACAUAUCUAAUUUGUGGAGAAAAUAAAAUUUCAUACCUCAUUGAGCUUUAAUCACAAAUUUGAUUUGUGUGGUUGACCAAAUGUGACGUCUUGCUUAUAAGAGUGUUAGUCAAUCAUAAAGGAGAAAUAACAUGUAAUUUAUGCUCAUUGAUUUAAUGAUUUAAGGAUAAAUUAAUUAAUUUAAUAUUUUUUAAACAAACAAACAAUUAAUUAAUUAAUCAUUUCAUGGAAAAUUAAUGAUUAUUAUUUCAAUUUAAAAUCAUUCAAUUUAAUAAUUAAUCAUUAUGAUUUCUAUAAUUUCAUGCAAAUUCUAUUCAUUAACAUUUCAAUUUAAUAAUUACUAAUUAUUUUAAAAAAUAAUAAUUUCAUGCAAAUUAUUAAUUAUUAUUUCAAUUUAAUAAUUAUUAUUAACAAAUAAUUAGCAAAUUAAUAAUUUUUACUUCAAUUUAAAAUCAUUCAAUUUCAUAAUUAUUCAUUAACAUUUCUAUAAUUUCAUGCAAAUUAAUUAAUCAUUAUUAAUUCAAUUUAAAAUCAUUCAAUUUAAUUAUUAUUAAUUAAUUAAUAAUUUUAUGCAAAUUAAUAAUUAUUGAUAAAAUUUAAAAUGAUUCAAUUUCAUAAUUAUUAAUUAAAAAUUUAAUAAUUUCAUGCAAAUUAAUUAUUAUUGAUAGAAUUUAAAAUCAUUCAAUUUAAUAAUUACUAAUUAACAAAUUUAUAUUUAUAUGCAUGCAAAUUAAUUAAAUAUUUUUAUAACAAAAUGAUUAAAUAAACAUUUAUAAUUUCAUACCGCAAUAGAGCUUAAUUCAAUCUGAAUUUCUGGAUUCUUGNNNNNNNNNNNNNNNNNNNNNNNNNNNNNNNNNNNNNNNNNNNNNNNNNNNNNNNNNNNNNNNNNNNNNNNNNNNNNNNNNNNNNNNNNNNNNNNNNNNNAACAACACAAUAAUUUAAUUAGUUAAUUAAUUAAAGCAUUAUAGAAAUUAUUUAUUUAAUCAAAUCAAUUUAUAAAUUAUUUAAAAAUAAUCAAUUAAAUAAUUAAUUAAAACAUUUAUAAACAGUAAAUUAAAUAAUUCAUAAAUAACAAAUAAUUAAUUAAAUAAUCAUUCAUUUUUAAACAAAUAAUAAUUUUAUUAAUAUUUAUUACAUAAGAAUUAUUUUAUAAUUUAAUGCAAAAUUUUCAUUAUUUAAAACAAUAUGUUAAUUACUUAUAUAAUUAAUUAAAACUUCGUUUUAAUUAUUUUUAAAAAGUAAAUAAAAUAUUUUUUAAAUUAAUUAAAACAAAAUAAAAUAAUAUUUCAAGCAAAUUAAAUAAUAUUUCAUUUUCAUUAAAACAAAAUUAUUUCUUUCAAAUAAUUCAUUAAUAAUUGAUUUCAUGCAUAUUUAUUUCAUGUAAAUUAUUAGUUUCAUGUAAACUUAAUAAUUUAAAUUAAAUAAUUUAAAUAUAUAUGAUUCAAAAUUUAUUUUUAACAUUAUAAUUUANNNNNNNNNNNNNNNNNNNNNNNNNNNNNNNNNNNNNNNNNNNNNNNNNNNNNNNNNNNNNNNNNNNNNNNNNNNNNNNNNNNNNNNNNNNNNNNNNNNNNNNNNNNNNNNNNNNNNNNNNNNNNNNNNNNNNNNNNNNNNNNNNNNNNNNNNNNNNNNNNNNNNNNNNNNNNNNNNNNNNNNNNNNNNNNNNNNNNNNNNNNNNNNNNNNNNNNNNNNNNNUUACAACAUAAAACAAUCAUAAAACAAGAAAUCAAUAACAAGAAAUCAAUUACAAAAAAAAUCAAUAAAACAAUCAAAAUAACAUAAUGAAAACAACAUAAUCACAACAUAAUCAAAACAAUUUCGAUUUCUUGUUUCUUGUUAAUAUAUUUGACCUAACAUUAUGAACAAAUUAACACACUAAUUUUAAAAAAAACGAACAUGCUCUGCUUGUGUAAGUGAAUCUACUACCGAUCCUAAUUUAGUAAAAUAAACACAGAUUUGGCACUUCAUUCUUUUGCCGAUCCAACUCCUAGUAAAUGAAAGAUCUAAUAAUAUCUAUCUACCUAAGAAUUUACACUAUCUUUGAAGGAAAUGCAACCAUUGAACAUGUAGGAAAUAUUACCGAGGUGUGUGGAAGUGGAGNNNNNNNNNNNNNNNNNNNNNNNNNNNNNNNNNNNNNNNNNNNNNNNNNNNNNNNNNNNNNNNNNNNNNNNNNNNNNNNNNNNNNNNNNNNNNNNNNNNNACGACGAUUCGGCAGGAGUAGGGGACGACGAUUCGGCGGCAGGAGCGACUCUGUCGAUUUGAAGAACAAGAAGCCGACUCUGUCGAUUUGGGGUUUUUAUUAAACCCCAAAACUUACAUGGCGGAUUUCCGCCAUGUAAGUACACUUAAGUGCCGCCAGCACUAAAGUGAAAGUCCGCCCAAUCGAAAUUUGGGCGGGCUUUUUCCGCCCGACUCCCCGAAUACUUAACAUGGCGGAUGUCCGCCAUGUUAAGUCAAUUUAAUCGGGUAAUCGGGUUGAAUAUUGGGGGAGAUUCGAAAUUUUGGGCGGGAUAGUUUAGAUGGCGGAAAUCCGCCAUCUAAACACCGCCAUCGAAAAUACAAUUGAACCGCCGUCUAGCCAAAACCUUUCCUCGGCGGACUAAAAGAAUAGAUGGCGGACAUCCGCCAUCAAAACAACUGAAGUAUUGAUGGCGGAAAUCCGCCAUCUAAAGGCCGCCAUACAAGGUCCUUUUUUUUGUAGUGGAGCUUUAAUCACAAAUUCGAUUUGUGUGGUUGACCAAAUGUGACGUCUUGCUUAUAAGAGUGUUAGUCAAUCAUAAAGGAAAAAUAACAUGUAAUUUAUGCUCAUUGAUAAAAUAUUGGAUUGAAGCCAAUUUUGAUAUACAUUAUAAGGCAAGUGUGAUAUGAUAAUUUAGAUUGCCUUGUGCUAAGAUAAUGCAAUGAAUAAUAAUCCAUGUGUGUGUUAUGGAUGAAGAUGAUCUUAACAUGUAUGGAUUAAAGAUUUUAUAAUGUUAUAAUCCAUAGGAUAUUAGUGAAUGAUAUGUAUAAAUCCAUAAUAUUCACUAAUUGCUUUAAGGAGAAAUUGAGCAUUUAAAAUUUUAAAAUCUAUGUCUUAGUGACAAAUAUAAUCAUGUAAAUAUUUACUAAGUUUUAAAAGAUUUAAAAUUUUCAUUUUAGUCCUUAAAGCCUUAGUAGUAAAACUUCACUUAAAAUAAAAUUUCAUUUAAGCCCUUUGAAGUUAUAAUCGAUACUUAGAUUAAUACUUGAAAUAUUUCAUUUAAACCUUGGAAGUAUUAACUAAUUCUAAGCACUUUUCAAUUUGAAAACUUCAUGUAAAUAUUAAUUUUAAGUUCCUGAAGUUUUAACUAAAUAUUUAUUCACUGUAAUGAUAUCCUUUUAAUGAAUAACUUCAUAGAUAAUUUAAUCCCUUUAAAGUUAUAAUGAAUACUUAGAUUAAUACUUAAAAAAUAUCAUUUUAAACCUUGGAAGUAUUAAAUAUUUCUAAGUAAUUUUUCUGAUUAAAACUUCAUGUAAAUAUUGAUUAUAAGUCCCUGAAGUUUUAACUAGAUUUAUAUUCACUAAUAUAAUUUUGAUCCUUAAGUUUUUAGUGAAUCCAUUAAAACUUAAAAACUUCAUAAACGAUUUUCGUUGAAGUCCCUGAAGUUUCAUAAAACUUUAUAUUCACUGGAAAAUAUAACUUUAAUCCUUAAGCUUUCAGUGAAUUAUUUUAAACUUAGAAACUUCAAACAUAAUUUAUGUUUAAGCCCUUGAAGUUUCAUAAAAUUCUAUAUUUACUGAAAAAUAUACCUUUAAUCCUUAAGUUUUCAGUAAAUCUUUUUAAACUUCAAAAAUAUUUUAUGUUUAAUCCCUUGAAGUUUUAAAGUUCAUGACUUUGAAAAGUCAAUUAAUACUUCAAAAGAAUUUUAAUUAUACCCUGAAGUAUUAACUAAUGUCCAUGCAGCCCUCAAGUUUUUGAUAUUGCUAAUAUUAUGUUUUUCUUUAUGCAUGCAUACCCUUAUGUUGAUAAGCUUAGAUGAUUAAAAUCAUAGAACUUCCAUUUCAACAAAAGAGGUGAUACAUGACCAGAUUAAUCUCAUAUUCAAUGAGACUACGAUCCAUGAAUGGAUCUCCAAAAUAACAGAAAAACAGACACAAGAUUAAGUACUUAAAACAUCAAAAUACUUCUUAGGGCAGAUGUAGUUCAGUCAUGGUGGUGCAUGGUUGGAAUGACCUUGGAGCUAAACUCAUGAAAUAGGUUAGCCAGCUCGAGGUUGUACUCUCUUUCAUCAUCUAGCUGUUGCCUUGUUAUAGACACCAUCUCUUCCAGAUCUCCCAUUCCUUUUUCCAGCAUCCUUACUUGAUGUCUAACUCUUAUGACUUCCUCAUUCAAAAACACAUUAGUGUUUGGUGAGUUUGGAUCAUAAGUGUUUCUCCAAGUCUUUUGGAAUGAGCUUGCAGUGAAUGGUUGAAUGUGAGAUAUGAUUGGAUGUGGAUAGAGUGGAAUUCCAAAGUACCCUGGACUAAGGAGUUUUGAAAGCAUCCUUGGGUAGUAGCGAGCUCCAGUGUUCUUGGUUGAUGUAGCCAGAUUGUGCAUGAUCAGUGAUACCCAGUUCACUCUAAUCUUUGACAGCAAGCAGUAAAUUGCUACCAAGAUCAACGUUGAUGGUUCUUCUCUAUCUUCAACUUGAGGAUAAAUAUUGUAUGAGAUGAUCUUCAAAAAGAUUGAGGCUUCUGGUAUGAGCAUUGUCUUUAGAAUCUUAUCAGUGCUCUUAGGGUUAUACCUGUGGGUGAGAGUAUUCCAGAGAAUCUCCCAGCUGCACUUAAAAGGUAGCUCAUCCAGACUUCUGUAGUUUUGAAGCUUCACUCCGUUGUUAGGUAGAUUUAUCCAUAUUCCAAGUUUAUCAGCUCCUAAAAUGAGAGAUAUUCCAUUUACCUUGGUGGUGAUGACUUGAGAACCUACUGUCUCAUACUUGAGAUUUGCAUAGAACUGAGCCAACUCAGAUUUGUAGAUUCUGAGCUGCCCUAUGUUCUCAAGGUAGUCAGUAAGCCUGUUGAAGUUUAGUAGUCCUUCAAUCACCUUGCAGUUGAGAGAUCUGAGUAGAACAGGUUCCUCAAAGAUCAUUCUUUGCUCGAGAAUGAGAUCAUAGGAAAACUUGGCUAUUGGAGAGAUCCAUGUUGGUGUUCCUUGGAAUAUUUCUGAUACUGGAAUCUUCCUGGUGCGUUUCUUCCGGAUGACAUUGCUGCUUGAGGGAUUAGGGUUGUAUACCGGACUGGAAGGACAGUCUGGUAUGAUUGUGAGUUCCUUCUUCUCAGGAUUGAUUUCUUGAAUCAACAUCCUUGGGACAGAAUGAAUCUUAAGAUGGAAGAAGAUGAUACGAUUGUUUCUCUUCCUAUGCUUAUAUAGUAAAUUGAUUCACCUCAAGCUUAUCAAAUGAUCUGUCCAGAUUCUUUAUGUACUGACAUUACUUGUGGAGUUACAAGUAAUGAAGACAUCUUUAAGUCAUGUCUAACUUUGGAAGGUUAGCAGCUUUUAGGGUUUGUUUUUCAAUAAACCCUACUUGGUGGAUAUGAACAAACAUAUCCUAAUUAGAUUUUUAGACAGAAGUUGUCUUUUCAGAUGUUUGGAAGAUCUGAUUUUAGAUAUGUUUUAUAUAUAUAAUUUAUUUAAACACAUACCUUUUGUACUAAACGACGCAUUCCUGAUUUUGCUUUAUCUUAACUCUUGCAGAUGAUGUUUGAUGUAUGUAGAGCAGGUGCAAGAUUUGCUUUUGCCCGAGCUACUUGCAGGAUGUUGUCGUUGCUGUUCAACUCAUAUAUCAGAUAUGGAGGUUGUAGGGUGAGUGACUGAUUGACCUUGUUGUGAUGUGUUGAGUAUGGUGGCUGAAUCUUCAAUACCGAGGUUGCUAGAGUGUGCAGGCAUGAGUUUGGAAGUUCUUUCACCAAAGUCGAGAAUGUUUGGAUUUUCAAGAUCAAGAAGAUUUGUCAUACUGAGUUUUGACAAUUGGCAUGUUUGCCUGUCCCACCUGUUCUUAGGAUAGAUAUAUAGAUUUGUGUACUCAUGUGAAUUUCGUAGUGACAUUGCAUGAGUCAACAAUUUUUGAGUGUUCAUCUUGUAUGCAUGAGUUGUUUUGAAAUCUUUAUGCAUGUAUUGCACAUCUUUAUUUUGCUUUGCAUGCAUAUUAUAUGUAUUAAUCAAAAGAUCAUAAGCAUACAGGUGGUUUGUAAAACAGACAUGCAUAGGAUCAGUUUCAUGAAUUGAUUAUGAAUGAACUGGCUUAGUAAGGAAAUAUUCAUGUUUAUGAUAUAUUUCUUUAACUAGUAUUAAAACGAUGGCAUUAUUCACAGAUAAUCAACUGUUUGAUAGGUGAUUGUAUGAACGCAUGAUGAGUGCAUAUGAUAUGUAUAAUGAAAGCACAAUUACAUAGUAUAUAACUAAUUGUUUCAGAUGAUUAUGUAGUUAAAUAUUUCAUAGAAGAUUUUAUAAAUCAAGCAUUUAUCAGAUCAUAUAUUUUAUAGAAGCAUAUAAAUCAAUGAGUAGGCAUGUAUUAAUGUGAUUGAUAUGAUAGACAUGCAUUUAGAUCUUACUAUAUCUAUUGAGUUAUGUGCGUGUAGGGCUUUAGUAUGUGAAUGAUAAAAGCAUGUAUGUUUAUUUAGAUCAUGUUAAGUUCAUAUGCAUAUAGAUCUACUUAGGCUUUAUUUGAGAUACAAAGCAAUCUAGGACAUAGUUGCCUUGUAUAGAUGAUUUUGUUUGUAUGCUAAUGUGUUGAUCUCCAAUGAUUUGUUCUGAGUUUCUGAGAUUCCUAUUUGAUGGAAGUUCAGAGAUGAUUGUUUCAUGAUCAUCUCUUUCUAAGGGAGUGUCAGAUGGUAUUUGUUGAAUGACUUUAAUUCCUCCUUCUUCUGUGUUUGGAAUAGAGAUAGACCCAUCAAAGUCAACGUGUAGGGAUUCUAUCAAUGUUUGUCUUUCUUUGAGAAGGACUCUAUAUGCCUUGCUCCUUUUUGAGUAUCCAACUAGGAUUCCUUCAUCAGAUUUUUGUGCUAAUUUAUCUUGGUUUCCCCUUGUUGUGAGAACAUAGCACUUACUCCCAAAUACUUUAAAGAAUGAAACUUUGGGUUUUCUGUUAUUCCAAAGUUCAUAGGGAGUUUUGUUUAAGGUCUUUCUAAUGAUUACCUUAUUAAGAGUGUAACAAGCAGUGCUUAUAGCUUCUGCCCAUAGAUAUUGAGGGGAGUCAUGUUCUUGUAACAUAGACUUACUCAUUCCUUGAAGAGUACGAUUUUUUCUUUCUACUAUUCCAUUUUGAGGUGGAGCUUGAGAAACAUCAAAUUCAUGCUUUAUCCUAUUGGAUAUACAGUACUCUUCAAAGUCAGAGUUUUCAAAUUCUUCUCCAUGAUCACUUCUGAUUUUUAUGAUAGAUGAACCUUUUUCAUUCUGUACUAGGGUACAAAAUUUAGAAAAUUCACCAAAGGUUUCACUUUUGUUUCUUAGAAAGAAUACCCAUGUAUAGUGAGAGUAAUCAUCAAUGAUUACAUAGGUGAAUCUUUUUCCUCCAAGACUUUGGGUUUGGGUUGGCCCAAAUAGGUCCAUGUGAAGAAGCUCUAAGGGUCUAGAAGUGGUUAUUUUUGUGAGGGAUUUAAGUGAGCUUUUGUGUUGUUUUCCUCUUUGACAAGCAUCACAGAUAUUACCUUUUUCAUAAGCUAUUUUAGGCAACCCGGUUACUAAUUCUUCUUUAGAUAAUCUAGAUAGCUUUGAGUAGCUGGUGUGACCUAGUCGUCUAUGCCACAGAACUUUCUCAUCACUUGCAGCAAGCAUGCAGAAGUCAUGAGUUGGUUUAGAUUUAUCAAAGUUUAUAGAAUAAGCAUUGCUUUUUCUAUAUCCUCUGGCAGUGAUAACUCCCUCAGAGUUAGUGAUAGAACAAUUGUAUUUUUCAAAUUUUACUACACAACCGAUAUCACAUAAUUGACUUAUGCUAAUCAGGUUGUGUUUUAGACCAUUUACUAAGUAUACAUUUCUUAAGAAUGGUUUUUCUGUAUUUCCUACAUUACCCCUACCUACUAUUGUACCUUCAUUGUUAUCGCCGAACUUAACCUUUUUAGUAGGCGGUAAGUCUAUCAAGUCGUUUAGUAGACUUGAUUCCCCGGUCAUGUGUCUUGUGCAUCCACUGUCGAACAUCCAUUUUGACACAUGCUUUUCCUGAAAAAGUUGAAAGAUCCUUUGGUACCCAUACUGAGUUGGGUCCUGAUGAAUUAACAUAUUUAAUCUGCUUAUAAUUUCGUAACUCAUCUUUAGUCAUCCAUCUUUGCUUUGGAUGAUUCACCUUAGAAUGAUUUUUCUUUUUCUUAAGAUGAAUGAACUUUGUAUUGCUAAAAUAAUUAUUAUGUAUUGAAGCAUGCAAAGGUUUUGUAUAACGAGAUUCCCUUACAAAAUGAUCAUUAUAAGUUGUGGCAUUUAGGGUUUUGUUAAUAGGUGCAUUUGACUCAAACCCUAAGCCAAAUUUCUUUUGACCCAAGUUCGAGCCUUGCAACAUAUUAUUUAACUUUGAUGAACUAUUGAAGAAUUUCUGAAGAACACUAUUUUUCUCAUUUAUUCUUUUAGUUUGUAAUUGCAUGCUAUUAUAUUUUUCAGAUAAUUUUUGUAAAGUUUCUUCAUGCUCAAGUAUGAGUUUAUCCUUAGAUUCUAUUUCAGUUUUAAGCAUGAUUGUUUCUUUUUCUUUAUUUCUAAUUGGUGAUACAGUAUCCCGAACACGUUUUAAUUCUAACAAUUCAACCCUAUCAUCAUUUAUUUCAUUGGGUUCUUUUUCUUCAUAUUCUAGAAUAUCAAGUAAUUCAAAAUUUUGACUCUUAAGUGUUUUAAUUUUUUUAUCUCCCUUUUCUAUUUUACUUAAGAGUUUAUGAUUUUCUUCUUUUAAUAACAUGCAUUCUUUUUGUGAUUCUUCUAAUUCUAUUGAAUGAUCAAUAUGUGAUUUAUUCAUGCAUUCUAGUCUUAAUGAUUUACUUAAUUUUUUGUCAGCUUUAUAUUUAUCCAUUAAUUCUAGAAAUGCUUCUUCUAAUGAAUUAAAUCUAGUAUUUGUAAAGUUUACCUCAGAGUCGUUCUCAUGAGCCAUGAGGCAGUCUUCUUGGUCUGACUCAGAAUCUGACCAGUGUACUUGAUGCGCUUUUUCUUUCUUUAGUAGAGGACAUUCAGGUCUGAUGUGUCCAGAUUUGUCGCACAAGUAGCAGAUGGGCUCUUUUGAGUCUUUGUGGUUUUUACUCACUUUUCUGUCGGAAUUCUGAUAGUCUAUCCUUGAAUUUCUCUUUUCUUUCCUUUUUAUGAGAUAUCUCUUUAAAUGAUUUGUGAGCAUUGCCAAGUCAUCAUCAGAUGAUUCAUUAUCGCUUUGACUUUUGAGAGCAAUGUCCUUUUUCUCCUCUUUUGCUCUAGAGAUAAAUCUUUCUUCUUCAUAGGCCAUCAGAUUUCCGCAAAGUUCUACCACUGUGAGUUUGUUCAGAUCAUGAGAUUCUUGGAUAGCAUUCCUCUUUGAGUAGUAUUUGUUUGGAAGGCUUCUUAGAAUCUUGCUCACUUGCUUUUUCUCAGUUACUGGAUCCCCUAGUCCAGCCAAAUCAUUGACUAUUUGUGAUAGUCGAAUGUUCAUUUCUGCGAUAGUCUCAUCUUCCCUCAUAGAGAAUCUUUCGAACCGAGAAGUGGCAUGUAGUAGCUUAUUUUCCUUGACAUGGGAGGUUCCUUCAUGUAAAUCCUCCAAAGCUUUCCAUACCUUGUGAGCUGUAUCCAAGCAUCGAAUUCUGUUGUACUCAGAUUCAUUGAGAGCGCCAUAUAGUGCAUUCAAUGCUCUUGAGUUGUUGUUUUCCUUGAGGAUAUCCAUUGCUCCCCAAGUCUCUUCUUUGCUUGUUGGAAUCUCAUAAUCUUCCAAUAUGAUUUUCCAGAUUCCAUUGUUGAUUGACUUUAAGUAUAACUUCAUCUUGUUCUUCCAGAAGUCAUACUUUACUCCAUCGAACCUGGGAGGUUUGUUCGAUGCAAGACCAGUACUGUUUUCACCAUUUGAAGCCAUAGUUGUUGUUGUAAGAUGUUAGUCUGACUUCAACGGAACAUGGCUCUGAUACCACUUGUUGGAUCGUGAUCCGAGGCUAUAAGGGGGGGUAAUAGCCUCUUUUCGAUUUAUAUAGGUUGAUUGCGGAAUUACCUGUAAAUGCUUGAACAAGUAAUGAUAUAAGGAUAUUAUGAUUUUGAUUGAUAUAAUGAUGUAAGUAUUACUCUCUGAAGCUUACUACAGUAUAUGAAUACUGAGUCAACUUGCUUGAUAGUGUUUCACACACAACUAUAGUAUAUGAAUACUAAGUUAUAUUGAAAACACAAAUUGUAAUGUAGAGUAAAUGACCAGAUAACUGGAUAUAUUAAUACGCAAGUAAAUGACCAGAUAACUGGAUAUAUUGAUAAACAAGUAAGUGACCAGAUAACUGGAUAAGUUGAUAAACAAGUAAGUGACCAGAUAACUGGAUAAAUAUGAUAAGUAAUACUUGAACAAAUAUAAAGAUUUAAAGCAAUGAAUAUAACCUCAGAUAGUUGACCAGAUAACUGGAUGAGGGAUCUGCGUAAAGUAGUCAACCUCUGUGUUUGACCAGAUAACUGGAAAAGGGAUCUUUUUAAUUAAGUGUUGUUUUUUAAAAAAAAUAGAACUAUAAUUAACAGAGAACAACACAAGAGAUUUAUACUGGUUCACCCAAACAAGGGCUAGUCCAGUCCCGACCAACUGCCGGAAUUCACUCGCCUAAAGGUAAUGGCAAAACCUUUCUAAGCUUUAAGGCUACUUCGCUUAGGAACCAGUCUUUUACGGGUAGACUCACACCUUAGAGUAUCAAGGGCACUCUUAAGAACCUCUAACUUUUACGGGUAAGUUAGUACCUUAGAGUAUCAAGGAACUCUUAAAAACCUCUCUAAGCUUUAAGGCUACUUCGCUUAGGAACCAGUCUUUUACGGGUAGACUCACACCUUAGAGUAUCAAGGGCACUCUUAAGAACCUUUAACUUUUACGGGUAAGUUAGUACCUUAGAGUAUCAAAGAACUCUUAAAAACCUCUGAAAUCUUUAAAGGUAGACUCAACCUAAGAGUUUUCCCGGAAACUCUAUAAAACCAAACUAGAGCUUUAUGGUUGAGCUCACAAACCUUCUCUAACACUUUGGUACUAUUGAGACAACCCUCUCAACCAAAGUGGACACACACAAGAGGUGAUUAGAGGAGUGGAAUAUUAAAGCAAACAAUACUUCUUACUUGUAAAGAUAAACAAGAAGAUUAGAAGAAGAAGUUGAAGAGCUUUUGAAGCUUUGGAAAGCUAGGACACUUGAGCACUUGAAAGCUUGGAAGCUUGGAGGCAAAAACGUGUGGGCAAGUGUGGAGUGAAAGCUCUUGAGUUUGCU